AUGAACGCUGGCGGCAUGCCUAACACCUGCAAGUCGAUCGGUAAGGCUCUUCGGAGUACACGAGAGGCGGACGGCUGAGUAACGCGUAGGAACACACCCUGCAGUGAGGGAUAAGACACCGAAAGGUGUUCUAAUACCGCAUACGGUCUUCGGAUUAAAGCAUUUAUGCGCUGAAGGAGUGGCCUGCGUCAUAUUAGAUAGUUGGUGAGGUAAUGGCUCACCAAGUCGAUGAUGUGUAGCUGGUCUGAGAGGAUGAUCAGCCAGACUGGAACUGAGACACGGUACAGACUCCUACGGGAGGGAGCAGUGAGGAAUAUUGCACAAUGAGCGAAAGUUUGAUAGAGCAAUGCCUAGUGGAGGAUGAAGGCGCUAGGGUAGUAAAAGGCGUUUAUAAGCGAAGAGUAUGACGGUAACUUAUGAAUAAGGGACGGCUACCUACGUG
rnacentral:rRNA from 1 species